AUUGAACGCUGGCGGCAUGCCUUACACAUGCAAGUCGAACGGUAACGCGGGGCAACCUGGCGACGAGUGGCGAACGGGUGAGUAAUGCAUCGGAACGUGCCCAGAAGUGGGGGAUAGCCCGGCGAAAGCCGGAUUAAUACCGCAUGAGACCUGAGGGUGAAAGCGGGGGAUCGCAAGACCUCGCGCUUUUGGAGCGGCCGAUGUCAGAUUAGCUAGUUGGUGGGGUAAAGGCCUACCAAGGCGACGAUCUGUAGCUGGUCUGAGAGGACGACCAGCCACACGGGGACUGAGACACGGCCCAGACUCCUACGGGAGGCAGCGGUGGGGAAUUUUGGACAAUGGGCGCAAGCCUGAUCCAGCCAUGCCGCGUGCGGGAAGAAGGCCUUCGGGUUGUAAACCGCUUUUGUCAGGGAAGAAACGCUCUGGGCUAAUACCCUGGGGUAAUGACGGUACCUGAAGAAUAAGCACCGGCUAACUACGUGCCAGCAGCCGCCGUAA
rnacentral:rRNA from 1 species